rnacentral:tRNA from 1 species
GUGGGGAUGGUGUAACUGGCAACAUUUCGGUCUCCAAAACCGACGUUCUGAGUUCAAAUCUCAGUCCCCGCGCCA